rnacentral:rRNA from 1 species
UUCGCCCUUAGAGUUUGAUCCUGGCUCAGGACGAACGCUGGCGGCGCGCCUAACACAUGCAAGUCGAACGAGCGAGAGGAGGUUUACUUUCUCAAGCGAGUGGCGAACGGGUGAGUAACGCGUGAGGAACCUGCCUCAAAGAGGGGGACAACAGUUGGAAACGACUGCUAAUACCGCAUAAGCCCACGACCCGGCAUCGGGUAGAGGGAAAAGGAGCAAUCCGCUUUGAGAUGGCCUCGCGUCCGAUUAGCUAGUUGGUGAGGUAAUGGCCCACCAAGGCGACGAUCGGUAGCCGGACUGAGAGGUUGAACGGCCACAUUGGGACUGAGACACGGCCCAGACUCCUACGGGAGGCAGCAGUGGGGAAUAUUGCACAAUGGGGGAAACCCUGAUGCAGCGACGCCGCGUGGAGGAAGAAGGUCUUCGGAUUGUAAACUCCUGUUGUUGAGGAAGAUAAUGACGGUACUCAACAAGGAAGUGACGGCUAACUACGUGCCAGCAGCCGCGGUAAAACGUAGGUCACAAGCGUUGUCCGGAAUUACUGGGUGUAAAGGGAGCGCAGGCGGGAAGGCAAGUUGGAAGUGAAAUCCAUGGGCUCAACCCAUGAACUGCUUUCAAAACUGUUUUUCUUGAGUAGUGCAGAGGUAGGCGGAAUUCCCGGUGUAGCGGUGGAAUGCGUAGAUAUCGGGAGGAACACCAGUGGCGAAGGCGGCCUACUGGGCACCAACUGACGCUGAGGCUCGAAAGUGUGGGUAGCAAACAGGAUUAGAUACCCUGGUAGUCCACACUGUAAACGAUGAUUACUAGGUGUUGGAGGAUUUGGCCCUUUCAUGUGCGGCAGUUAUCACAAUAAAAUAAUCCACCUGGGGCGUACGACCGCAAGGUUGAAACUCAAAGGAAUUGGCGAGGGCCCACACAGGCCAGUGGAGUAUGUGGUUUAAUUCGACGCAACGCGAAGAACCUUAACCAAAGUCUUGACAUCCUGCGACGCACAUAGAAAUAUGAGUUUCCUUCGGGACGCAGAAGACAGGUGGUGCAUGGUUGUCGUCAGCUCGUGUCGUGAGAUGUUGGGUUAAGUCCCGCAACGAGCGCAACCCUUAUGGUCAGUUAGUACGCAAGAGGACUCUGGCCAGACUGCCGUUGACAAAACGGAGGAAGGUGGGGAUGACGUCAAAUCAUCAUGCCCUUUAUGACUUGGGCUACACACGUACUACAAUGGCGUUAAACAAAGAGAAGCAAGACCGCGAGGUGGAGCAAAACUCAGAAACAACGUCCCAGUUCGGACUGCAGGCUGCAACUCGCCUGCACGAAGUCGGAAUUGCUAGUAAUCGCAGAUCAGCAUGCUGCGGUGAAUACGUUCCCGGGCCUUGCACUCACCGCCCGUCA